rnacentral:lncRNA from 1 species
GAUCUACUGAAAGGUGUGGUUAGGUGGAGCAUGUAAAAGGAAAGGAGAUUAGACGGUGUGUGUGUACACUGUGUAAGAGAGAAAGCGAACCAGAAAAAUAGGCAGAAAGUCAUGGACACAGCAAGGUACAAAACUGAUUGGUAGCUGCCUUUAGCGGAGCCUUUACCGAUUACUUCCAUUGAUCAGAGCACUCGGCACGGUCAUCUCUCUUAAGAGUCAGCCAAAGAAAAAAAUAAGAGAAAGAGUUGAGGAUCGAGGCACAGGAAAAGAAAGAGAGGUUAAAAAGAGAAGGACAGAGAGCAACUCUGUGAGUGACCAAGCUGGACCAUCAUCACAAAGCAUUAGCAGCCAGAGGACGACAGAUAAACACGUGGAGAGAGAUCUUCAGAGCUCUUCAGACUCCAGCACAGAAUUGUCGUUUUUCCGUCCGUCCUUGCAUAGUAAAGCAGAGGAUCUUUGGAACAUGGAUAAACACAAGAAAAUGCUUCCUGUCACAUGUGGGAAUAAAAAGGCCUUAUUGGACAGAAAAGCAUUGUAUAAAAGAAAGAGGGACUGCAUUAAAUGUGGCAGAGAAAUGAUCUCCCCUUAUAUGUUUGAGGAAAUGGGUGGAAAAGAAUCAUGCAAGUCCUGGAAAACAAGUAUAUUAUGCCAAGGCACAACCCUCAAGAGUCUCAUUGAGAUGAAUAUUUUGAAGAUACCCAAACUUAAUGGAAAAUUUACCCUUCGUAAAUUAUAUAAAUGAUAUGUGCAUCACAUUAUUUAGCAUUUUCAAUCAGUCAAUAUACUGAGCUUACGAAUCCACUAAUUUUUCCACUUUUAAUAAAGUCAGUCAAUGAAUGAAAAGUGUUAGUGUGAAAUAAAGCUUC